UCGAUCAGCCGCAUAUCCACCGUCCAUCCGAAUAGAUCGAGUGGCAGCUUAUUUGCCGUCGAAUCGGUUCUCAUUAUAAGGAGUUCCGUUUCCUGGCUUUGGGAUAUCAGAAGCAGUCAGAAGGAGAUGAUGUUCGGCAGGAGAGGGUUUCUUUCUUUGCCCAUGGUGGUGGGGGCCGUCGUGAUAGGAGUGGUUUCUGGGAAGUUUAUUUUUGGACCUCCUCUUGAGGAGUACUGGACAAAGAAGCUGCAGGAAGAGGCAGCAAAGGAGGGUAAAGCAGACACCAGAUAGCAGCAACCAGAAGGUUGCGAUACCCAUUUUUUUCACAGGAAGAAAGGGGAGAGACUAUACUUCUAUCUCAGAAACUACUUUUGUUUUGAUUGUGCUGUAUAGAUGCUAGAUGCACACCUAGCUUUCUUUCCUCUGCCCAUUCUUUAGGUGCUUCAAUACAUGGUUUGCAAAAGAUGGAACUCCAGUCUAAUUCUGUUGUGUCGGGAUAAUAGUUUUGAGGACUCGAUCUUUUCACUGGCCUGUUAUUUGAGCCUGCCAUGUGGCAAGCAGGGGCUGAUUAUUGUUCCGUCGACAUACCGUAUUCAGCUUUCUUUGUUUUUGCUUCCUAUCAGAGGUUGAAUAAUUUUGGCACAGUGUAUAAUAUAAUUGAUACUUUAGGACAAGAAAUCAAAUAAGAGGCUAUCUGGCCUUUCAGAUUCAGUUUGUUAUGUGUGGGUCAAGCUCUCCUGAUCUGAUGAAUGAAAAGCAAUAAUGCAGAUUCCAUGCAACUGAUCAGUGGCUAUUUUCCUAGCUAUGAGACAUCAGAAUACUGUAAAAGAUUACUUUAGUUCCAAUCUGGUGGAAUGUGAUCUAGCCUAGAUGGCGGUAUGAAUUAUGAUGUGAUCUUUAGUUUCACUUUGCUAAAAGAUUAUUGUAAUUACACCAGAUGGAAGCACUUUAACCAUUCUAAAAUGCCAUUAUCCUGUUUUAAUUUCUUGCAAGAUAGUAGCAGCAGCUCAUUAAAAGUGGCACCUAUAAUACAAAACUGGUUGACAGCCUGUACGGUAGUUUGUGAUCCAUCCUCAUGUUUUUUUUCAUGUCUAAUAUCUUACUUUGUUUAUAAUGCAGGACUGUUACAUUAGGUUAAUUCCACGUAUGUUAUUUACAUACACAGCCAGAAUUUUUCCUUUCAUUCAACUACAACAUGACAUGCACUAGAUGCUACCACAAUACUGGCAUCUGCAAGCAAUGGCAUAAUCAUAUGCAGGGUAUCAUGUCAUGAAUGCUCAUACAAGAGGGAGCCCCAGGUAGGGGUAGAUGCUGCUGGUGCUUGCUUCAAGGAAAUGAACUUGGGAGAUGACAUAUUGGUAGCUUGUAAUUAUUAACUAAAAGAUCAAGCAUCCAGAAUGAGGUUUCUCCAAAUUAGCAGCGUUCCCUAGCUGCAGAAAUGGCUUAAAAAGAACAACUGAUCAAGUGAGGUCAUGCCAAACCUGCCGAAAGCAAGAGAAGUCGUUAUCUAAUUAUUACUUCUUAACAGCACAUACUGCAACAGAACGUAACAGCUACCUUCCAGCAGAAUCAAAUAUCAGAAAUUUGAAGCUUUGCUCUGAGGGGACUGAGAACAACUCCUGGACUUAAAGAACUAUACCAAAUAUUUCCUAUGGCAUAAGAUCUUCCAGAAAAACAAUCCCAAUGGUAGUCCUUUUCAAAGAACAGCAUUUAUGAACCCGUUUGCCGUAUGAAUGGCGGGCUAUUGAUAUAGUUUGUUAAUACUCCAAAAAGAAAAGCCGCUGUCAUAUCCUGCAUGAACUUGUGCCUGCAGCAACAAUUCCCAAAUUCUCAGAUGUGACCUCCAAGCCAACCUGUUUCCAUGUAAGAUGCCUUUACCAUAUAUACAGUGAUCAGAAUAUAGUCUUUGAACAUUAAUUGAUUUCCACAACAAAACAUUUAGAUUCUAGCAAA